GACGAACGCUGGCGGCGUGCUUAACACAUGCAAGUCGAACGGAAAGGCCCUGCUUUUGUGGGGUGCUCGAGUGGCGAACGGGUGAGUAACACGUGAGUAACCUGCCCUUGACUUUGGGAUAACUUCAGGAAACUGGGGCUAAUACCGUAUAGGAUCUCCUGCUGCAUGGUGGGGGUUGGAAAGUUUCGGCGGUUGGGGAUGGACUCGCGGCUUAUCAGCUUGUUGGUGGGGUAGUUGCUUACCAAGGCUUUGAAGGGUAGCCGGCCUGAGAGGGUGACCGGCCACAUUGGGACUGAGAUACGGACCAGACUCGUACGGGAGGCAGCAGUGGGGAAUAUUGCACAAUGGGCGGAAGCCUGAUGCAGCUACGCCGCGUGCGGGAUGACGGCCUUCGGGUUGUAAACCGCUUUCGCCUGUGACGAAGCGUGAGUGACGGUAAUGGGUAAAGAAGCACCGGCUAACUACGUG
rnacentral:rRNA from 1 species